GUUUGGGGGGGCUUUUUUGCUCCCCCGCUUAUAAGCAGAAGAGCUAUAAACGUUUGGUAACUCAGCUUAUCCUCAGCUUUUGGAAAAAGCUGCUGCGGCUUCUAUCGAAAAGGAGAAGCUCGCUCCCCCCUGCUUUUAGAAGCCAGAAGCCGGCAGAGUACUGUGGCGCUUGUUACUGUAGAUUAAUGAAGUUUUGCUAAUACCGGUUUCUACCCUCCGUUGGUUGGAGCAAUUACACUCAAUUGCCAUGAAACCCUCGAUCUCCCUCUGAUCACAGAACGCCUCACAUCAAUCUCUCUCCCUCUAACGCUGCCUCACUUGCAUCUCGUCACGAUUUCGAAGCCUCAAUCAAGCAAGGCUACUUGGCAGUUUGGAUAUUCAGCAAAGGAAUGUUUUGGAGAAAAAGAAUGAGGUGCCCCAAAAUUUUAGAAGGUUAUUGAGCUCAAGGUUAAGAAGGGUGGUUGCACAAGAAAAACUUGAAAAGAUCAUUAGAACUACUGAUCUUGAAGAACUACGGGAAUUGGGAUUGGUACAUGGUGGGAGUCGGAUGCUGCAAUAAAGAGAAUUAAAAAGAGCUACUUAGCAGUGAGAUCAUCAGAGGAAAAUCAGUUGGUGGGUCUCAUAAUCAAAUUCCAUGUCUAUAUCUGUGCGUGUUUGCAUUCAUGAAGAAUGAUGAUACAUUGAUUAAAUGGAGAAUGAUGAUACAUUGAUUAAAGUUGAGUUAUUAGCUGUAUUGGGAGUGUGUCUCCUUCAUUGUGAACACUUUUUGUAGUUAUUAACUUUGAAAUCUGGCCAAGUUAUCAGAUUUUUGAACAUCUAAAACAAUAUAUAAUAUACAGGACGCACUUUUUGUUUAGAUGAGGCUCCUGCUUUUAUACAGGACGUUCUC